UACGUAGGGUGCGAGCGUUGUCCGGAAUUAUUGGGCGUAAAGAGCUCGUAGGCGGCUUGUCGCGUCGGAUGUGAAAGCCCGGGGCUUAACUCCGGGUCUGCAUUCGAUACGGGCAGGCUAGAGUUCGGUAGGGGAGAUCGGAAUUCCUGGUGUAGCGGUGAAAUGCGCAGAUAUCAGGAGGAACACCGGUGGCGAAGGCGGAUCUCUGGGCCGAUACUGACGCUGAGGAGCGAAAGCGUGGGAGCAAACAGG
rnacentral:rRNA from 1 species